ACUUUUGGAUGAGCAGAGAAAGUGGUUUCUUGAGAUGGGAUCUACUUUUGGUGAAGAUGCUGUGAA
rnacentral:pre_miRNA from 1 species